GAUGAACGCUGGCGGUGUGCCUAAUACAUGCAAGUCGAGCGAACAGACGAGGAGCUUACUCCUCUGACGUUAGCGGCGGACGGGGGAGUAACACGUGGAUAACCGACCUAUAAGACUGGGAUAACUUCGGGAAAACGGAGCUAAUACCGGAUAACAUGUUGAACCGCAUGGUUCAACAGUGAAAGACGGUCUUGCUGUCACUUAUAGAUGGAUCUGCGUCGCAUUAGCUAGUUGGUAAGGUAACGGCUUACCAAGGCAACGAUGCGUAGCCGACAUGAGAGGGUGAUCGGCCACACUGGAACAGAGAAACGCCGCAGACUCCGAGAGGAGGAAGCAGUCGGGACUCCUCCGCAAUGGACGAAAGCGUGACGGAGCAACGCCGCGUGAGUGCAGAUGGUCUUAGGAUCGUAAAACUAUGUUAUUAGGGAAGAACAAAUGUGUAAGUAACUAUGCACGUCUUGACGGUACCUAAUCAGAAAGCCACGGCUAACUACGUG
rnacentral:rRNA from 1 species